GCUCCCAUGGCGUAGUGGUCACUGCGCUCGCCUUGCACGCGGGACUCGCGGGAGACCCGGGUUCGAUUCCCGGCGGGGUCA
rfam:Asian citrus Psyllid, Diaphorina citri - Florida Strain, whole genome shotgun sequence.